GAUGAACGCUGGCGGCGUGCCUAAUACAUGCAAGUCGAGCGAACGGACGAGGAGCUUGCUUCUCUGAUGUUAGCGGCGGACGGGUGAGUAACACGUGGAUAACCUACCUAUAAGACUGGGAUAACUUCGGGAAACCGGAGCUAAUACCGGAUAAUAUUUUGAACCGCAUGGUUCAAAAGUGAAAGACGGUCUUGCUGUCACUUAUAGAUGGAUCCGCGCUGCAUUAGCUAGUUGGUAAGGUAACGGCUUACCAAGGCAACGAUGCCUAGCCGACCUGAGAGGGUGAUCGGCCACACUGGAACUGAGACACGGCCCAGACUCCUACGGGAGGCAGCAGUAGGGAAUCUUGCGCAAUGGGCGAAAGCUUGCCGGAGCAACGCCGCGUGAGUGAUGAAGGUCUUCGGAUCGUAAAACUCUGUUAUUAGGGAAGACCAUAUUUGUAAGUAACUGUGCACAUCGUGACGGUACCUAAUCAGAAAGCCACGGCUAACUACGUG
rnacentral:rRNA from 1 species